rnacentral:lncRNA from 1 species
UUUGGGAUCAUCUGCUGUGGGCAAGGUUGCCAAGUAAAUCAAGCACUACAUCAGGCUGCCCAGGGCCCCAUCUGGCCUGGCCUUGAUGGGAUUCCCUCUAGGGAUGGGACAUCCACUGGGUAGCAUCUCUGGGCAACUUGUGUCAAUGCCUCACCAUCCUCUGAGUGAAAGAUUUUCUCCUAGAAGCUAAUCUAAAUCUCUUUAAGUUUAAAAAUAUUUCUCUUUGUCUUGUCACUCCCACUACAGCUAUCAGGACAACAUCUUGCAAGAGGAUCUCAUCCAGUAAUUCAUGAAACAGCCAGAAGUUCGCUUUUCUGAAGUUCAGAGUUUCCAUGUUUAUGUAAACCGAAGUGUAAACUUAAGACCUGAAUUCUUAGCUUGAAUAACUUACAGGAUGGCGGCGGAGUUCUGCAAUGCAUUCAGAGCGGAGUAACCGACUGUUUUGUGGAUGAAGGAGCACCCUGUUGUUGGCAGCUGCAGUUGGUUCAGUGCUACUGGAACUUCGUUACAGCUGUCAUGAGCCAUGAUGAAAUUGUGCCACUCGUGGCUUUUGGGGAAGAUUGCGCAGAUGGCUUUCAGUUUUGAACUGAGUCUGGGACCAGAGCCUGUAAGAGAUUCGGGUGGCUGAAGGCAGUAAAAAGUGAGAUUUAUCUAAGUAAAAAAUUCACUUUUAACAACUUUCCUUUAUUUCUGCUGAAAUCUUGAACUCACUGAAGCCUCAGAGCUUAUAUCAUUACCCUUCCUUGAGGCUCAAAAGUUCUGAUUCUGGAAAACUUGACAAGGACACAGCACUCCUGACAAAACCUACCCAUUUCUAACCAAACCCAUGCUUGGUACUUUUUUUUUUUAUCUGUGUCACUCAAAAUGUAGUACUCCCACUGCCUCUCCUUAUAAAAGGCAGCUCUCUGUUACUCAGUGUCUCAGUUGACUGUGCUUUUAGCUGAGAAAUAGUAAUUAAAUUCAUUUUCCUCCACGUGAGUAGUAUUUUUCCUAAAAUCAAAAACAGAGUAUUCCAUUGUGGGUUUGUUUGUUUAUUUUUGAGGUGAGUUGAUCACAACCAAAAGACAUAAACUGAAUUUGAAAGUUUUUCAAAAGACUAGUGUACACCUUGCACUGGGGUAUUGAGGUCUAUCUUCAGUAAGUUCUGGCUGAGCUUUGGUUCUGUGCUCAUGCAGUCAUGCUGUCUGCACCAUGAAACAGAAAUGUUGUCUGUACAGUAACAGACAAAGUAGUUACUGCUAGUUCUAAAACCAAGUUGUCCUUUGAAG